UACGAGAGGCCCAAACGUUAUUCGGAAUUACUGGGCGUAAAGCGUGCGCAGGCGGUUCGUUGUGUCGGCGGUGAAAGCCCCGGGCUCAACCUGGGAAUGGCCGUUGAAACUGGCGAACUGGAGUGUGGCAGAGGGGGGUGGAAUUCCGCGUGUAGCAGUGAAAUGCGUAGAGAUGCGGAGGAACACCGAUGGCGAAGGCAGCCCCCUGGGCUGACACUGACGCUCAGGCACGAAAGCGUGGGGAGCAAACAGG
rnacentral:rRNA from 1 species